AACGAACGCUGGCGGCAGGCCUAACACAUGCAAGUCGAACGAGAAGCCACCUUCGGGUGGUGGACAGUGGCAGACGGGUGAGUAACGCGUGGGAACGUGCCUUUCGGUUCGGGAUAACCCAGGGAAACUUGGGCUAAUACCGGAUACGCCCUCCGGGGGAAAGAUUCAUCGCCGAAAGAUCGGCCCGCGUCGGAUUAGAUAGUUGGUAGGGUAAUGGCCGAUCAAGGCGACGAUCCGUAGCUGGUCUGAGAGGAUGACCAGCCACACUGGGACUGAGACACGGCCCAGACUCCUACGGGAGGCAGCAGUGGGAAAUAUUGGACAAUUGGCGAAAGCCUGAUCCAGCCAUGCCGCGUGGGUGAAGAAGGCCUUAGGGUUGUAAACCCCUUUCAGCGGGGAAGAUAAUGACGGUACCCGCAGAAGAAGUCCCGGCUAACUCCGUGCCAGCAGCCGCCGUAA
rnacentral:rRNA from 1 species